CCUACGGGGGGCAGCAGUGGGGAAUAUUGCACAAUGGGGGAAACCCUGAUGCAGCGACGCCGCGUGAGCGAAGAAGUAUUUCGGUAUGUAAAGCUCUAUCAGCAGGGAAGAAAAUGACGGUACCUGAGUAAGAAGCUCCGGCUAAAUACGUGCCAGCAGCCGCGGUAAUACGUAUGGAGCAAGCGUUAUCCGGAUUUACUGGGUGUAAAGGGAGCGUAGACGGCAGCACAAGUCUGGAGUGAAAUCCCGGGGCUUAACCCCGGAACUGCUUUGGAAACUGUGCGGCUGGAGUGCAGGAGGGGUAAGCGGAAUUCCUAGUGUAGCGGUGAAAUGUGUAGAUAUUAGGAGGAACACCGGUGGCGAAGGCGGCUUACUGGACUGUAACUGACGUUGAGGCUCGAAAGCGUGGGGAGCAAACAGGAUUAGAUACCCGGGUAGUC
rnacentral:rRNA from 1 species